AAAGGAUUUUAAUAGAAUUGAAAUCCAACACUAAUCUACUGUUAUUCAACUAAUGAUUCUAAAUCCAAUUUUAAAAUCUAGUGUUAUUGGAACUCAUCUUUGUAAAUCAUGCUUAAUAGAUUUUAAAGUUUAGUGUUAUUCAAUUAAGAUUUUAAAUAUUUUAUUAAAAUCUAGUGUUAUUCAAAACUAAAAACCUUGUAAAAUCUUUGUAUAUUAAUUCAUUUGAAAUGAAACCUCUUUGGAGUUUCAUGAGUAAACUAGAUUUUAACUCGCGGUACACCGUGGGAAUAAUUUAUUUUUUAAAGUUAGUAUACAUAAAACUUUGCAAAUUGUAUCUAUCUAUAAAAUAUUUUUAUUUUAUAGUUUACAAUUGUUAUUAAGUAACGUCCUGUCAACCCGUCCCAUAAAAAAAACAUUUAUUUUAUUAAUGUUAAUCUUAUUUAUGAUAUGUUUAUGAAUUAUUGUCUAAAUAUUUUGUAAUUUUGUUGUAAUUAAAUGCUAUCAAAUAUCUCUGCGGUUUGAUGAUUAUAAUUGAAUUGUUAUAGUUAUGGAGAAAAGCAAUAUCAAAAAUGAUAAUUUUGUAGUAAUUAAAUGAUAUUAAAUAUUUUGGAAGUUUUAUUUUAGUAAUUAAUCGUGUAGUUAAUGUGGAGAGAUUUAGGGAAGAUUGUUAAAUAUCAAAUAUUUAAUUCGAAGAUUUUUUUUCUAAUUAUCAAAAACAAACAUUAAAAUCCAGUGGCAGCCAUUGUAAAUAAGUCCCAACUAUAGGAUUUAUUUCACAAAAUGGCUGCAAAAAUGUAUAUAUAGAUCAUUAGAAUCGAAAUCUAGGACAUAUUGCAGAGAUUUUAAAAUUCAUACAAAUAUAUUUUUAAAAGCAAUAUCAAAAAACAAAUCUAAAACUUAUUAAAGAAUUGAUUUUAACUCCAUAAUUGAAUAACACCACCUUAACACCACCUUAAUCUAGCCUCGACAUAUAUAUAAAUAUAUCUACGGACGGUAUUUGAAUUUGCUUCA
rnacentral:sRNA from 1 species